AAAACCAGAGCAAGUGCUCCCCACUGAGCUAUGUACCUAGCUCACAGAAAUCAUCUUAGAUUCUGAGCAGUAAGGCUCAGGCAAGAGAAUUCUGAGUGACAGCCAACACAGUUCCGCAAGAGAAAGGAGGUGUGGCGGCGGCGGCGGUGGCGGCGGGGUGCUCAGAGGAAACUACAGGGUCCAGAGCUCUGUGACAGCUGAGGACAGACAGGCAGCUGAGGGCAUCUCAGGACAGCUUCAGUUUUAUAUUAUUCCUGAGACUACACACUAACUAAACCGCCUACAACUGCCUGUGGAAGGACAGGGGCAGCCAUAAAAGGGACUAGUGAAGAGGAGGAGCUUUGUGACAUUUGCAGUCUGGAGGGAGAGAGUGGAGGGUGAUGGGUAGCUGUUUCCUUUGAUUGAAGUGUCCCUCUCUGGUGUGUUGGGGUACAAGGCCUACCCAACUCACAAGAAGUCCUGUCUCCGAGGCCCUCCCUGGAGUUACAGAAGCUGUAAACAGUUCCUGAGGAAGAGGAGACUCUCAGGUGGUGCCGCCUGCAAGCUAGGCACGGACUGCAGUGAUGCAUCUUUUGCAGUUGCCUGGCUCUCCUGUGCUUCUGCAAGUAACCCCAAUAGACUCAAUGGUUCACCAGGCUGGAAGUGGCUGCAGUCGUUACUUUGACAUGCUGUUCCCACCUCUAUCUGGGGAAACCAAAAUAGUCUUUCCAGGAAAAGUCAUGCCCGCAGAGGAAGUGUCUAAGAAGGAAGAGAGGAUCAACACCACCCCACCACCCAUGGACUCAACAAGCAGCGUUCAGGAGCCUCUGCCUCCUGGCUUGGGCUCUACCUGAGGUCAGCUGAGUAACAAAGGACCAAUCCAGGCCACCGAGUGCGUGAAGAGUGUAGGCCUGUUUGAAUGAGCAUUCAUGACAUGAGCAUGGCCAUGUCAAGGACACCAGUGCCUCUGAUUCAUGGGAACUGCAAGGCCUUUCCCUGGUCCAAGUAUGGAUGUUGAUGAUGGGUGACCUGUGGCUAAAAACAGUAGCACAAAUAAUACAGAGCUUCCUAGUCCCAGAUGACUUUGUGAACACACCCUCAGAGGCUGCUCCUCUGCAGAGACCACCUACUGAGAUCAGCUGACCAGCCUCCUUGUCCGUACUGUAUAUAAUAAACACAGAUUGGCUGACCAGCCUCCUUGUCCACACUGUAUAUAAUAAACACAGAUUAGCUGACCAGACACACAGAG